rnacentral:rRNA from 1 species
ACACUCCUGCGGGAGGCAGCAGUGGGGAAUAUUGCACAAUGGGCGCAAGCCUGAUGCAGCCAUGCCGCGUGUAUGAAGAAGGCCUUCGGGUUGUAAAGUACUUUCAGCGGGGAGGAAGGCGAUAAGGUUAAUAACCUUGUUGAUUGACGUUACCCGCAGAAGAAGCACCAGCUAACUCCGUGCCAGCAGCCGCGGUAAUACGGAGGGUGCAAGCGUUAAUCGGAAUUACUGGGCGUAAAGCGCACGCAGGCGGUCUGUCAAGUCGGAUGUGAAAUCCCCGGGCUCAACCUGGGAACUGCAUUCGAAACUGGCAGGCUAGAGUCUUGUAGAGGGGGGUAGAAUUCCAGGUGUAGCGGUGAAAUGCGUAGAGAUCUGGAGGAAUACCGGUGGCGAAGGCGGCCCCCUGGACAAAGACUGACGCUCAGGUGCGAAAGCGUGGGGAGCAAACAGGAUUAGAUACCCCAGUAGUCCCAUGA